CUUCCCACUGCCGUCAUGUCUAAGCCAGAGUCCCCUAAAGAACCCGCACAGCUGCGGACGCUCUUCAUCGGAGGGUUGAGCCUUGAAACGACUGAAGAGUCCGAGGAGCCAUUCUGAGCAAUGGGGACUGCUCACGGACUGUGGUGGAGAGAGAUCCAAACACCCAGCGCUCCAGGGGCUUGGGGUCUGUCACAUAGGCCACUGUGGAGGAGGCCGAUGCAGCAGUGAAUGCAUGGCCACACAGGGUGGAUGGAAGAGUUGUGGGACCAGAGAGCUGCCUCCAGAGAAGAUUCUCAAAGACCCACUCAGCUGUGAAAAAGGUCUUUGUUGAUGGCAUUAAAGAAGACACCGAAGAGCAUCACCUAUAGACUAUUUUGAACAGUAUGGGAAAACUGAAGUGAUUGAAAUCAUGACUGACAGAGGCAGUGGCAAGAAGAGGGGCUUUGCUUUUGUAACCUUUGAUGACCUCGAUUCUGUGGAUAAGACUGUCAUUCAGAAACACCAUGCUGUGAAUGGCCACAGCUGUGAAGUAAGGAAAGCCCUGUCAAAGCAAGAGAUGCUAGUGCUCCAUCCAGCCAAAGAGGUCAAAGUGGUUCUGGAAACUCUGGUUGUGGUCGUGGAGGUGGUUUUGGUGGGAAUGACAACUUUGGCCGUGGAGGAAACUUCAGUGGUCGAGGUGGCUUUGGUGGCAGCCGUGGUGGUGGUGGAUAUGGGGGCAGUGGGGAUGGGUACAAUGGAUUUGGUAAUGAUGGAAGAGGUUUUGGAGGUGGUGGAAGCUACAGUGAUUUUGGAAAUUAAAACAAUCAGUCUUGAAAUUUUGGACCCAUGAAGGGAGGAAAUUUUGGAGGCAGAAGCUCUGGCCCCUAUGGUGGUGGAGGCCAAUACUUUGCCAAACCACGAAACCAAGGUGGCUAUGGUGGUUCCAGUAGCAGCAGUAGCUAUGGCAGUGGCAGAAGGUUUUAAUUAUUCCCAGGAAACAAAGCUUAGCAGCAGAGGAGAGCCAGAGAAGUGACAGGGAAGCCACAGGUUACAACAGAUUUGGAAGUCAGCCAAGCACAGUGGUGGCAGGGCCCGGCUGGUACAAAGAAGACAUGUUUUAGACAAUACUCGUGUGUAUGGGCAUAAAACUCGAGGACUGUAUUUAUGACUAAUUGUAUAACAGGUUAUUUUAGUUUCUGUUCUGUGGAAAGUGUAAAGCAUUCCAACAAAGGGUUUUAAUGUAGAUUUUUUUUUUUUUGCCCCCAUGCUGUUGAUUGCUAAAUGUAAUAGUCUGAUCAUGAUGCUGAAUAAAUGUGUCUUUUUUAAAA